rnacentral:tRNA from 1 species
GGGUCGAUGGCGUAGCUGGUUACCGCUCCUGCAAAGUGUCCUCAGUUCGAACCUGGGUCGACUCA